rnacentral:rRNA from 1 species
GACGAACGCUGGCGGCGUGCUUAACACAUGCAAGUCGAACGGAAAGGCCCUGCCUUUGUGGGGUGCGCGAGUGGCGAACGGAUGAGUAACACGUGCGUAACUUGCCCUUGACUUUGGGAUAACUUCAGGCAACUGAGGGUAAUACCGGCUGGGUGCUCCGGCUGCGUGGCGGGGGGGGGGAGGUUUCGGCGGGUGGGGAUGUGCUUGCGGGUUAGCAGCUUGUUGGUGGGGAUGUGGCUGACGAAGGCUUUGUCGGGUAGCGGGCCUGAGAGGGUGACCGGCCACAGUGGGACUGAGAUACGGGCGGGACUCCUACGGGAGACAGCAGUGGGGAAGAUUGCACGAUGGGGGGACGCCUGGUGCAGCAUGGCCGCGUGCGGGAUGAAGGCCUUCGGCGUGUAUGCAGCAUUCGCGUGUGACGUAGGGUGAGUGACGGUAAUGGGUAAAGAAGCACCGGCUAACUACGUG